AACGAACGCUGGCGGCAUGCCUAACACAUGCAAGUCGAACGGGACCUUCGGGUCUAGUGGCGCUCGUCUGCGUACCGCGUGGGAACUUGCCCUUGGGUUCGGAAUAACUCCCUGAAAGGGGUGCUCAUCCCGGAUCGUGUCUUAGGACCAAAGAUGUAUCGCGCUGGGAUGGGGCCGCGUUGGAUUCGCUAGUUGGUAGGGUACAAGCCUACCAAGGCGACGAUCCCUAGCUGGUCUGAGAGGAUGAUCAGCCACACUUGGACUGAGACACGGCCCAGACUCCUACGGGAGGCAGCAGUGGGGAAUAUAGGACAAUGGGGGAAAUCCUGAUCCAGCAAUGCCGCGUAAGUGAUGAAGGCCGUAGGGUUGUAAAUCUCUUUUACCCGAGAUGAUAAUGACAGUACCGGGAGAAGAAGCACCGGCUAACUCCGUG
rnacentral:rRNA from 1 species